rnacentral:rRNA from 1 species
UACGUAGGGUGCAAGCGUUGUUCGGAAUUACUGGGCGUAAAGGGCGCGUAGGCGGCCUGUUAAGUCGAACGUGAAAUCCCCGGGCUCAACCCGGGAACUGCGUCCGAUACUGGCAGGCUUGAAUUCGGGAGAGGGAUGUGGAAUUCCAGGUGUAGCGGUGAAAUGCGUAGAUAUCUGGAGGAACACCGGUGGCGAAGGCGGCAUCCUGGACCGAUAUUGACGCUGAUGCGCGAAAGCCAGGGGAGCAAACGGG